UGUAAUAGCUGAGUCGACCGGGUGCUGACUCACUAUUGCUCACGUCCAGACUGCCACUUCUCCAGAACAAAGACUUGGUUCCAGACUUUGUUCUUGUGCGGAGAAAUUUUUACUCUUUUACUCUACACAUCUGUACACUAAUCUCUCUCAAAAAGGUUUUGAUCAAGGUAAAGUUAAGGUAGAGCUUGUGAACUGUGAGCGUCUUAAUGUUCUUAGUGUCUUUAGAUGGGUAAUAAAAUCAUGUAUAAAUUAUGAUGAAGUAAUGUUUUUUUUAAACAUAUUUUUUCUUGUUUACUUGUAUCAGAGGUGUCUAAGACAGUAUGAUUGGUUAAUAAUUAGAUGUUUCAGCCAUUGACCACAGACAUGCUUGUACUCCUCCAGUGUGUGAAAUUUACUGUCUUUCUCAAAAUGUAGAAAUGAAAGUUCUAAGAAAACCACACGACACAUGACGAUAGGAGGUAAAACAAAGGGUUCGAUGUGUCACAUUAGACGAUAUGAAUAGAUGUUAACGUCACAGGAAGAUGAACAAGGACUUAUUGUCUAAUUGUUUACCAAGCUUUAUAGAGAAUGUUACCUCAGGUUUUUAUUACUUUUUAGAUUUGUUAAAUUUUGUUGAAUGCUAAACGACUGUGAGGGGCCAUGCCAUACCAAUUUUGUGUGUGUGUGUGUGUGUCUGUGUGUGUUCGUGUGUGUGUGGUGUUUGUGUGAGUGAGAGAGAGACUGUGUGUGUGGGGGGGCAUCGAGGAAGGGGGUGGGGGGCGGCUACUUGGUGGCUAAAUCUCAUAAAAGGGUUUUCCUAAUAUGGGCUGUCUCUUCAAAGACUCCUCCUCUGCCCUGUUAGUGGGUGGGACGUUGGACUCUCCUUCAGCCAGUGAUGACACAGCUACGACUCACUUCCCCAUUAAUUGGCUGAAACCAGUUCUUACAGGAACCGCCAGUGAUAAAUGUGAGAGUUCUCAGAAAUCAUUCAUUUCUUCCUUCUCCUGAGCCGAGGGACACUGCGGGCAGCGUGGAUGCUUCUUUGUUUUAGCCUUGUACCUGAGGUCACUCAAAUUUUUUUUUUUUUUAGUUUUUUUUUCCUUUUUCUGCUCUUUUUUCAUAGAGUUUCUCUCUGUAUUCAUGAAGGGUUUAGCAGUGUUCUGCCUCAUAUUCUGUCUCUCUCUCUCUCUCUGAAGGAGACUCUUCUGCCCUGUAGUAUUGAUGAGUAGUAAUUGUAUGUACCCCCUCCUCCCUGUACAGGGUUGUUUCCCUGUUCGGCACCUCUUCAAGGAGUAUCCUGAGGAUGGGAGGCGCAGCAGCAUCGUACCGGAGAAACCUCGCCGGCUGAAAAAAACACUGGCUCUUCUGGACCUCCGAGAACUGGAUACAUUAAGGGUUUGUUUUUUGUCUGCUUCAUCAUACACUACUACUACCUUAAACACAUCCAUCAGCAGAAAUACUCUGAGGACAAUAUUAAGUGAGGGAACUUGAGUGUAGAUGCAUGAAUGUUGAUUUGAUUUACCUAGAUGUCUUCGAUGUUUCCACAUAUUUAUGGGUUUUUAUGCCCUUCAUUUAGCAUUUCUGACUCUUAUCAGAAGCUAACUCAUAUGUCUAGUAUAGUCAAUGCGGUAAGUAAGGUUGUGGAGCGAUAUCUUAGAUUUAGUGGCAGUCUAGUGUAGUGUGACGUGUCAGGAAGUGAACAUCAGCAUAUUUUAAAAGUCCUUUGAUCUCUAAGCAAGCCUUAUUCAUGCCUUAAGAUACAACACAUAUGUGUGUUUGUAUACUAUAUAUGCCAGAUUACUACAUACAGCAUUGUGAAAUAUUUAUGCCUGGAUUUAUUAGAUAUGUAAGAGGAGCUUACCAGGAAUGUAAUAUAAUUUAAUUUUGGAUUAUUUUAACUUACUUACUUGUGAGUACAUUACAGACUUUUAUGUCCUUCCAGUGGUGUUUUUGUAAAUGCAGUUUAGCAUAUUUUUUAAAUCUUGUUUAGCAUAUAAUGUGUCGACAAAGUACUCGCAGAUCUAACUGCACAUUUUAUUAAAGAUCUCAGGUAGAGGGUUUGGUGCAUAUUUGACUUUAAUGGUCUGUGGUAGAUUAUAUGCUUAAACUGUAAUUUUUUAUUGUGAGUUUAAAACAAUCCCAGACUGUAUACAUACUCAUAAUGUUGCCUUUGUCUGAAGUCAUUUUUUUGUUUCUAGAGGGAGAACGAGAGCAAAUCAGUCAGACCAGAACUGUGUAACCAGAUGCAACAAUACACUGAAUUAGAUUAAGGUGUGUGUGUGUGUGUGUGUGUUUGCGCACAUAUGUGCGUGGGUGGUUGCUUGCUUGCUUGCCAUUAGUGUGUAGUUCCAUUUCUCACAUAUUCUUUACAUCCUCAGUGAGGGUUUUCUCUGAAAUACUUCCUGCCUACAAUAGUUUUCACUUACGCAGAACAGUCAUAUCUGACUGGGCCGUACUGCUAGUGCUGAUGGGACUAGCUGAUAGUAUGUCAGUAACACAGAGAACAGUUUCUGCAGGUCUGUAGGUACUGUCAGUAGUGCAAUUUAUUUAGAAGUUUAUAAUCUAAGCACAUUCCUUUUUUGUCAUGUUUAUUAACACAGGCCCACACUUAAAAUAGGGUUGUGUCAUUGUUUAUUCAUGCAUUCUCUAUAGUCAGUUUGUGACAAAACCUCAUUGAUGGGUUUCUUUCUUUUUUUUUUCAUUUUUUAACUGCUUGUGAAAUGUUUUUUCCCCUCCUCUGUGCCUUUUUGUAACACUGCCCUGGUAUGCUACCCUGGACGCUUCAGGCGUAUAAAAAAUGGAACAGUGUGGAGUUUCUUUGCCGUUACCUUAACUGAACCCUGGAUUGAACUCGAUGCACUGUGCUGCUGGCAGCGAGGAUGAGAGAGAGGGAGCGAGAGGGAACGGAAGAGACAGGCGAAAGGCUAGACUGAGCUCAGCUAGUGCCCACACACACACACAGCUGAAUGGGAAUAGCAUUUUUCUCUGGCAUGAAGGGAUUUAAAUCAUUCUUAUAUAAAAUAAUGUACGGUUCCUUACCCUACCAUACCACCAACACCCCCGUGCUUUCCUCUUUGUCUAUGGUAAGUGUUUUUCUUCUCUUCUUUUUGUUCUAUUUUGUGUGUGGUUCAGGCAUUUCCAUCCGUCUCUCCCAGUGUGUCAGAUAGCUUAUCAGACUGGUGUUGGCUGUUACAUUGCAUGGCGACAACAGUCUGUAGGCUGUCUGACAUUUUGGGCUCUUUCAUCUAAAAUUGUGUCUUAUAGUCUUAGUUUGUUGUUGCUGCCAUUUUUUCAUGACUUCUCCUGCUCUAAUGGAAGAAAGGUCUAUAUGGAGAGAACAGUGUAUGGAUCUCUUACUCCUCUUUUACAACAGGUAGAUUCCUAAUGUAAAACAAUCAAAAAACAAAGUGAUUAUCACCUUUGAUUUCUACACCUCUGCUCAGAAAUGUAUUGCUUGCUUCCCAGAAGGAGGCUGUGUGUGCGUGCGUGCAUCUUUGUGUGUACAGCGUGUAUGUUUCUGGGGCUGGCCUAAAUCUACUUACAUUUCUUCAGAAUCCAGAAAGAACACACCUUAUUGCAACACACACUAUUAUGACACAGUUCUGUACUUCCCCCUCCUCUCUGGAACCAUGCCUGUGUUGCUCAACAUUUUUUUUCUCUCAGAGUCUCAUGACUGUGUUUAUUUGUUCAUCCAUUGUUUCUGCCCGCAAUUUUUAUUUGAGUCGAGUCAUGGCUUGACCAAUUAAUGCUUAUUCUGCCCCCGUUAAAAUGCAGGGCCAAGCCGACUUACCUUUUGUAGGAUGACUUGUUUUUUUCCACAGACUUAUGAUGAAGAGGCUUUUUUUGUGACUCUGGGACGUCUGGUUGGCUUGCAGACUCAGGGAGUAUGUUUCCUUACUAGUGUUCUGAACAUCCUGUUCUUAAGUGGAUCUCUCCUCUUAAAAAAAUGCUGUUUUCUGUAUGACAUUUGUGUAUUAUGUAUUUGUGUGUGCUUAUGUAAAUGUAAAAAAAAAAGUGUAAAUAUAAUGUGUUUCCUUGUAUGUUUAUUUAUUUUUGUCCAAUAAAUCACUCACAUAGACCCCAUUAACAA